UUUGGUUUAAGUUACAGAUGUGAAAGACCCGGGGCCGUCAACCUCGGAAAUAGCAUUUGUAAACUGGCAGACUAGAGUACUGUAGAGGGGGGGUAGGAAUUUCAGGUGUAGCGGUGAAAUGCGUAGAGAUCUGAAGGAAUACCGGUGGCGAAGGCGGCCCCCUCGGACAGAUACUGACACUCAGAUGCGAAAGCGUGGGGAGCAAACAGGAUUAGAUACCCUGGUAG
rnacentral:rRNA from 1 species